rnacentral:rRNA from 1 species
CUUGACCAUUGGCCUCAAAUCAG